GGAUAUGGCUCCUGAGGGCUCCACCCUGGAGGAGUCCAACAGGAAUCUGGAUGAAAUAACAGACCUGGCUCUCCAGCUGCAGAGCCAGACUGGAAUCAAGGUGCUGUGGGUCACCUGCAACCUCUUUGCACACCCAAGGUCAGUGUUUUAUUCCGACAACCUGAGGUUUCGCAGGGCAAGAGGCCCUCGCUCAUUUAGUCUGUAAACUCAGAAGCACAAGUUUAAAGUAACAAUAUACACAUUUUAUUCAUGAAUGGUACCGCCACCAACCCUGACUGUUAUGUUCUGGCCUACACUGGCGCUCAGGUUAAGAAGGGGCUUGAUACUGCCAAGAAGCUGGGUGCAGAACAUUUUGGUAUGAGUGACUUGAUGGUGUCUCUGUCUAAAUAUCAAUAUGCUCCUUCAAUGCAACAAUGUUGCUACAUUAUUGUAUAUUUGUCUCCUGAGUUCUUUGGGGAGGAAGGGAAGGGUUCCUUUCUGUCCACAAUACUGAUGUUGCUGCUGAUGAAGCACAUGUCCAACUUCUUCAAAAUGGCUGUCAGUAAGUGUGCACAUGAAUAUGGGAUUAAUUCCAAAUCAGGAUGAUGUCACCCUUUCACUUUCAUGUCUGUAUAUUUGCCACCAGAAUACAAAGAGAAGAUUGGGUUAAAGUGUCAGUUUCUUAUUGAACCCAAGCCUAAGGAGCCCUGCAAACACCAGUAUGACUAUGAUGCUAUGAGUGUCAUUGGAUUCCUGAAGCAUUAUGAUCUGGAGAGUCACUUUAAGUUGAACAUCGAGCCCAACCACACCACCCUGGCAGGACAGUCAUACGAACAUGAUGUUGUCAUGGCCUCUGCGUGAGACAUUUUACUGAACCCUGUUGCAAAAAUGUAAUGUUUUGGGCUGAGACAGUUUUACAUUCUGUAUCAUCUUUGCCUGCUGGUGGACAGGUUUGGCAUGCUGGGUUCAGUUGACUCCAACACUGGCUCUCCUGACCUGGGGUGGGACACAGACCAGUUCCCCAUGGACAUCAGAAACACCACCUUGGUCAUGAAGACCAUCAUUGAACAAGGCGGUCUGCAGCCAGGAGGCCUGAACUUUGAUGCUAAGGUGCGCAGGGAGUCCACAGACCUGGAGGACUUGUUCAUCGCUCACAUUGGAGCCAUGGACACCUUUGCAAGAGGACUCCGAAAUGCUGUUCGUAUUAUCGAGGACGGGCUCAUCGCUGGUAUGGUGAGGGUAAGUGUGCAGCUAACGGAAAACCACUGUUGCAUAGACUUUAAUUUUCAGGUACAGUAUUAUAAGGAAACAUCCUACAUUAUGUUUAAUCUCUGAGGUUAUGUGUGAUUCAAACAGGAGCGAUACUCAAGCUUCAGCCAUGGCAUUGGACAGAAAGUGGAGGAUGCUUCUGCCUCCUUGGAGGAAAUGGAGGUAAGACUAUUAGAGACGUGUUUAUUAAGCUACCAAUACUGUUGCACAACCAUCUCUAUUGUCUUAAAGACUAACACUUAUGUCUGCUUCUCUUUAUAUGUCUGUCUUGUAAUUACUGUUGGUUUAUUAACAUAGUAUGAGUGAUCUUGAGUCUGAAUGUAAUUCAGAAGGAUGAGAAAGGAUUGCUACUAAUAUAUGGAAAAGAUACAGUUCUAACAAACUGGCUAAUAUUUGGCUCCAUGUGUUUUGUUUCACAUUUCAAUCUGCUUAAAACUAACCAGUAAUAUUUGUGAACAGUGGGAUAUUUGUAUCGCAGACAUUUCUGUGUGUUUUCUCAAAAGGUUUUCAGUGUGUUUAUUGCCAGUGUUAUAAACAUCUUAGAAAUAUACAGUAAGGGAGAGAUGAUGGUCUCAGAUAUAUAAGGUCAUGUGUUUUGUUUUCUCAGGCCUUCAUCAAGUAGAAUGGUGAGCCAAAAGUAACAUCAGCAAGAAAAAUAUGAAUCCAUCUUUAAUCAGUACAUAUAAUAGAAGCAUCACUCUCCUGUGUCUGCAUAUGACAUGAUAACCUUUGGCCUUAAACGAAGUGUUAGAAAGGUAGAGCACUUUAUUAAUCUCACUGUUUAAAAAAAGAAAUAGAAAUACAGAUGCUGAACACUGUAGAGAGCAGAAAUGUUAAAGUAUCCUUGUCUCACUAACUGACAGACUUAUUCAAUAUCAACAUUUUGGGGAUCUGUAUGUAGUUGUGGUGCUAUUGACACAUAAUGUGACAUUUCAUACACUGAGGCUACAUUCAUAAUAGCUGAUGACUUCUGAUGUUCAAUAUGUAAUAAAACACAUUUCAAAAUGCAGUCGAUGUGU
ensembl:lncRNA